rnacentral:tRNA from 1 species
GCCAGUAGCUCAGCUGGUUAGAGUGCACGCCUGAUAAGCGUGAGGACGUGGCGGUGUGAGGGUCUCGAAGAGACCCGCAACAAGAGGCGCCA